AGCGGCAUAGUGUAUGUUCGCACACGGGAGUCAAUUGCUUUGGAAGAUAGAUAUACCCCCGAGGUCCUUGUUCGAUUCAAGGUGCUGCUA